rnacentral:lncRNA from 10 species
CAUACUAUCAUUAUUUACUUCGUCCUCCCGUGUGCCAGGAUGUUUUUGCUUGAGCUGACUUGUUUCCCUUUUUGACUCUCCUUCCUGAAAAUCAUGAUACCAUCCAGUGCAGAAGAGGACGCUGGCGUGUAGAAGAAGAGAGGGAAUAAGAGCAGAAAAAGUUCCCUUGAACCCUGGAGGUUGCAGUGAGCCAAGAUCACGCCACUGUGCUCCAGCCUGGGCAACAGAGUGAGACUCAAUCUGAAAGAAAAAAAAAAAAAAGACAUCACCAAGGACAGGAGGGUUGAGAUUUUGGCUCCUCUCUUCCAGGCUGGCUGCACUACUUAAAUUACCUGCACAAGGCCUUGUUGCUUCUUGCUCGCAGACCAAGAAGUGCCCAGCCUGUCUUCUAACACCAGGUUUCUCCAAGAUAGGAGGAGGAUUUUCGUCAGAGGAAGAAACCUCCACUCCAGAUGAAAUAGGGAGCACUCACCCCUGAUCAGGCUACCUGGAUCUCUCAGAAUGGGUUUGUUGGAUGAAUGAAGGCUGAGAAUCUCUUGCUGGUUCCUCUACAACCUGAGCCUGACCUGAUGACUGGCAGUAGUUGCUGAAUUCUACCCUCAACAGUGGUGCAAGUUUGGGCUUCUGGGCCCAUAAACCUAUAUCCCCUGACCCUCUGACCAUCUCUGACCCUCUUGUGAACCAUCUGUUAUUUCAAAAGGUAUCAUACAUUCCUUCCAAAUAAAACUUCAUUUAGCUCA